rnacentral:rRNA from 1 species
CCUCGGGAGGCAGCAGUGAGGAAUAUUGGUCAAUGGGAGAGAUCCUGAACCAGCCAAGCCGCGUGAGGGAAGACGGCCCUAUGGGUUGUAAACCUCUUUUGUCGGAGAACAAAACCCGGGACGUGUCCCGGACUGCGUGUAUCCGAAGAAAAAGCAUCGGCUAACUCCGUGCCAGCAGCCGCGGUAAUACGGAGGAUGCGAGCGUUAUCCGGAUUUAUUGGGUUUAAAGGGUGCGUAGGCGGUCCGUUAAGUCAGCGGUAAAAAUGCGGAGCUCAACUCCGUCGAGCCGUUGAAACUGUCGUUCU